AGUAAACUUGGCCAAUAUUUUUAAAGUAAAAAUUUUACCAAAAUCCCACUCAGAUUUUCAAAUAAUAAAAUUCUCAUUUAUGUUUUCUAGCAACACUGACAAUUGAUAUGAGUUUGAAGAUGGGUAAUGAGCUGAUAGGUAGAACGUUACAAUACACUUGACUUUUUUCUAUAAUAUUUUUUAAUCCAAUAUUUUUGUACCUAAGACCAAGACCAAGACUAGCAAAGACAAAUAUUAUAAUUUGAUGAUCUUAAAAAAGUUCAUUAAUACUUAUUUGCUAGGUUUCUAACUGCAACCUCAUGCUCGAGGAACGAACGCUUUAACCUCUGGGCACCGUGUUUGGUGCAAUAGGGUGGAAUAGUAUUAAAUAUAACAAAAAAUAUCACAUAAUUACUCGGAGUGGUGAUAUUAGUGGUGCACUAUUGUACACAUGUGAGCUAAAUCUUCGUUGGUAAUAACCAAUCCACAUUUUUAUUAAGCUCGAGGGUUUGCUAAGCAUAGCAAUGUUACAAGUACAUAAGAACCAAGCGAGAUAAUAGCCAAAUUCGCGAAGAAAUGAAGAUUUAAAAUAACCGGUUCAAUCUAUUAUCAUCAUCUCAGCUACACAAGUCGUCUGCUGCUAAACAUAGGCCUCCCACAAUAAUCGGUCAGAUGUUGUGCCUAAAAGCCGAGGUUCCAAGCAAGACAAUUUCAAUCCCAACGUCAAAUGGAAUGUCAGUGAAGUUGAAAAUUGAUUCCAGAAUCAUCAUUGGGAAUUAGGUAUAUGGCGCUGGCAAAGUUCCUGCGCCGUAACCUGGUCAGCAUAAGUUUCCCGGUUCUGACUGCUACAUUAAUUUACCUUGACUGGAGUCACACUAAGAAUUGGAAAUUGCAACAACAGAAAGCCCAAAACUAAGAUGGCUAUCUUCGGCAUCACUGUACGCUAUGUAUGGUUUGCUGUACCCAUCGGAGGUUUUCUCCUUGGCAAGUACUUGGAUGACCAAGAAACGCUAAGGAUGACUAACUUCAGAGAUAAAUCUAUGCUGUAUGGCGGCAAUGUCCAGCCUGGAGAAGCCCCAUCUUGGCCUUGAAAUAUUUUAAGUGUAGUGAUUGUCAAAGGAAUUAUGUAAUGUCAGAAUAAAAUAGUUGUAUUGA